rnacentral:rRNA from 1 species
GACAGAGGAUGCAAGCGUUAUCCGGAAUGAUUGGGCGUAAAGCGUCUGUAGGUGGCUUUUUAAGUCCGCCGUCAAGUCCCAGGGCUCAACCCUGGACAGGCGGUGGAAACUACCCAAGCUGGAGUACGGUAGGGGCAGAGGGAAUUUCCGGUGGAGCGGUGAAAUGCGUAGAGAUCGGAAAGAACACCAACGGCGAAAGCACUCCACUGGGCCAUUACUGACACUGAGAGACGAAAGCUAGGGGAGCGAAUGGG